rnacentral:misc_RNA from 1 species
UAUUAUUGAUACAGUUUCUGUACUAUAUUG